rnacentral:rRNA from 1 species
AUGGCUUAGUGAGAUCUCCGGAUUGGCGCUUGGGAGCCGGCAACGGCCCCCUUUUGCUGAGAAGCUGAUCAAACUUGGUCAUUUAGAGGAAGUAAAAGUCGUAACAAGGUUUCCGUAGGUGAACCUGCGGAAGGAUCAUUAGUGAAUUGAGCUGGCUUCGGCCGCUCUGAUCUACACACCUGUGAACCGUUGGCCUCAGGGUCUUAACUACAACUGUGACGAAUGUAACUUAUUAUAACAAAUAAAACUUUCAACAACGGAUCUCUUGGCUCUCGCAUCGAUGAAGAACGCAGCGAAAUGCGAUAAGUAAUGUGAAUUGCAGAAUUCAGUGAAUCAUCGAAUCUUUGAACGCACCUUGCGCCCGUUGGUAUUCCGACGGGCAUGCCUGUUUGAGUGUCGUGAACAACCUCAACCUUGAUUGGUUCCAAUCAAGGCUUGGACUUGGGUGCUGCCGCUGCGAAGCGGCUCACCUUAAAAUCAUUAGCUGGACUUGUCUAUGACUUGGUUCGACUCGGUGCAAUAAGUAUUCACCGGGGACAGAGUAAUCUGGCCAAGGCUUGAUGCCGUCUGCUUCCAACACUGUUCUCACUACGAGACACUACUU